rnacentral:rRNA from 1 species
CUGGCCGUAAACGAUGAACACUAGAUGUUGGGGGAAUCGACCCCUCCAGUGUCGUAGCUAACGCGUUAAGUGUUCCGCCUGGGGAGUACGCACGCAAGUGUGAAACUCAAAGGAAUUGACGGGGGCCCGCACAAGCGGUGGAGUAUGUGGUUUAAUUCGAUGCAACGCGAAGAACCUUACCAAGGCUUGACAUCCUGCGAAUCUCCAAGAAAUUGGAGAGUGCCUUCGGGAACGCAGUGACAGGUGGUGCAUGGCUGUCGUCAGCUCGUGUCGUGAGAUGUUGGGUUAAGUCCCGCAACGAGCGCAACCCACGUUUUUAGUUGCCAGCAUUCAGUUGGGCACUCUAGAAAGACUGCCGGUGACAAACCGGAGGAAGGUGUGGACGACGUCAAGUCAUCAUGCCCCUUACGCCUUGGGCUACACACGUACUACAAUGCUGCGGACAAAGAGUAGCGAUCUUGCAAAAGUUAGCUAAUCUCGUAAACCGUGGCUCAGUUCAGAUCGUAGGCUGCAACUCGCCUACGUGAAGGAGGAAUCGCUAGUAAUCGCAGGUCAGCAUACUGCGGUGAAUACGUUCCCGGGCCUUGUACACACCGCCCGUCACACCAUGGAAGUUGGCCAUGCCCGAAGUCGUUACUCUAACCUUUUGGAAGAGGGCGCCGAAGGCAGGGCUAAUGACUGGGGUGAAGUCGUAACAAGGUAGCCGUAGCGGAAGCUGCGGCUGGAUCACCUCCUAA